AAAUAGUUCGAUCUUGUAUGACGUAUACAAGAAAUCCCCCACAAGGUUAGAUUUGAUUGGUCGAGACAUUUGCUCUUUGUGGUGUACUGUUAUUGUCGAUAUUGAGUAAGAGGAACAACACACGUUAUUUUAUUAUUUCAAGUCUGAAAUCAAGCGAUAGGAUGUAUUCCAGGAACCUCGUUCUCGGCGGCCAGAAGCCUCGUGAUGGGAUGGAAGAGAGCCUCGUUCCCAAAGAAAAACAGAAGGCGGUUGACAUGGUGACGGUGUUCGUACCGGAAGCUGUGGGAGAAAAUCAAGUCUACUGCAAGUCUGUGACGUCGAUCCUGUCCAAACAAGAUUAUCAAAAUUAUCUCCCCGUUUAUCGACCACUUACUGAGCCAUUGACACCGUCUGCCGAGCCUGACCGCCCCUGUUACGUCACAUUCCUCUAUAUAUUUCUCGGGAUAUUAUUCUGUCUGCUGUUGGCGGGAAUAUCUACCUGUAUCUACCUGGCCAUCACACAGAAUUAAAAUAAUAUUAUGGACCAGGACUUGAUUCCUUUACAGUCAGCAUGCCAAAGAAGGCUGGGAGACCAGCGAUGUGUGAAAACUCGAAAGGUGUCGAUGAACGCGGAGUGACACUCUGAGCAUCUCGACCGGUUGAUUCACUGUGCCAUCUUAUAUUGCAAUCAGAACCCCUCGUCUUUUCCCACGAAACUCUUGCAGUCGCAGGCGAAGUGUUCCGAUUGCUAUCUUUGAUGCAAGCUACUGUGGUCGGGGCAAAACAUGCCGAAAGGUGACUAGAGUACGAACGUGCAUAAUGGUUGUUUAAAAGUGAUUUUGACGAAGGAACAAUCUAGAAUGGUUCCUAAUGAACAAUUAAUUGUUGGUGAGAAAGAACCUAGUGCUGUUCCGAAUGCAUAAUUUAGACUUGGCAUGAGUUUACACAGCUAAGGAGUUUUUACUGAUACAAUGAAAUCUGUUUUGUGUGAAUGGACAUUGUGUUGAAUAAGGUGCCAAAUUUUUACCUAUACGGUAGAACAUGCUAUUGUGUUCGACACACAAUGUGAGAAUUGUACAUAUGGAUGACUGGAUGUAAGGUGACUAUGUCAGAUUGGUGCUGAAUUUAUCUGAGGAUGAAGAAACAAAUUAUCACGAUAAUGUAAUGAUUUCCAUACAACUUCGUAUGGACGAGGUUUAGCUUCAUUUUGAUCAUCGAACACGCGUGUUGCAUCAAGGCCAGUAUUAUGUAAAUUGUUCUCGAAGUGAGAGAAAAAUAACGCUGUGAUAUUGAAAAUAUGUAAAGAUCAAAGUGACCUUGUGACCUUGGCCAUUAGAAUCAAGGAAGACAAUCCAUUUAACAAAGUCCCUUUUGCGCUGUAAGAAUACUGCUUUUCAUUGGGAUGUAAAACAUUUUAACGUCAAUCAUAUUUUCGAAUGACGAUUUACGCAAACAUAUGUGUUUGAGCUAAUCAGUGUUUUUGUACUUUCAAGGGUGUGCCAAUUCAAAAUUUCGCCAAUUUGUCAAAAUUUGACGAUCUGCUAAAAUCUCAGCACGCCAAAAUAAGUUCAUUAAUAGUAUCACCGCCAAAAACCCGAACGAAGCGACAGAAAAACCAAUGUUUUGCUCUUGACCUCGCGAGAUAUAAAAGUUUCUCUCCCAGUGAAAAUUGCUUUGUUACUUUUGCGCAAACAUUCCAUAAUUGAGUUUUCGUGAUGAAAAUGUUUCAACCCUAUUACUUUUUUUCUGAUCAGAAAGUAUUUUGUUUAUAUGGAAGAAAAUCUUGAAAUCUGUGCUAUGAUAAUCAUGGAUCAAAUUAUUCCUUUAUUUCUUUCUUUCAUUUUAAACUGAAUUGUCUCGUAUUUCUCUCUCUCUCUCUCUCUUCUCAUUUAUGUACAUAGUAGCUAGUUAUAUAAUCAUACUGAUUUUAGGAGAUGACGAAUCUUGACUCAUUUAAAUGCUUUGUCUGUUGAGAGACAACUCAAGCGCCCCAGAGACUGAGUCACGGUGCUGUAUCGCAAGCCUAACUAGAAUAUCGAUUCCAGAACAAUAGACUAUUAGUGUUGUAUUUUCGCUACCAGACAGAAGUUUUGUUACUAAAUUUCCAUCAAUCUCGGUUAAUAAUUUGUCAUCGUUAUUUAUUGUGAAAAUGUGAAAAAUGUAUUGUUAUGAAAUUUAAUGUUAUUGUUUAUCGUAUUUAAAAACAAAUGUAUCACACGAUAUUAUUUUAUAAAACAUUCGCGUUCAGAUUGUGUUCCAUCAGGUCAUUUACGACUAUCAUUCUUGUCCUCAACUAUUACAAUGCUAUUAACUCAACGUUUGAGUUGAAGCCAAAGCAUUUUUUUUUUUGCACUUUGUAAGAUGAAAAUAAAGUGUGAUUUUUUUUAUCAAAAUUGAAAUUUCAAGAUCCAACUUUUUUUUUCAUAUUAUUUUUAGAUAAAUAACAACGAAAUAUUGAAGUUGUCGAUAUAUGUACAAACUAUAUAUAUAACCUCUGUGACAGCUCACAGACAUUUUUUUUAAUAUGGCAUGGAGUUUACAAUGGGCACUAUGUAAUGACGGACAUUUACAUUCGGCAAACCUCGGCAGAUUCCGGUUAGAUGUAGGGUACCGGAAUCUGCCGAGGUUUGCCGAAUUCCUCAGGUUUUGUACAUUUUUCUGUUUUAGGAAUUUUUCCAUUGUCUGAAAGCCAUAGUUUUUAUUCUGUCUCAGUAUAAUCAACGGGGGCUUGGAAACUGUUCCAUGUACCGGGCUCUGCCUAAAGCAAUAUGGGAUAUGUCGAACAGUAGAAUACUGUUAACAUUGAUUCACCGUACGUGACGUACAUUUUUGUGAUAUUGUCUUUUAUACAUACAUUUUACAAUACAAUAAAAAUAUUGAUUUGUAA